UUCCUUGUGACGCAAUAGGAACUCGUCCUUUCCGUCGACCUACCGUGAGUUGAACAUGUCGCAUACGUCUGAGCGAAGAAACGAUGAUCAAUGGUCAGGAGAUUCCAAAAAUGGUCCUAGUGAAAGUGAACAAUCGUCAUAUGAAGGGCCCUCUGGCAUGGACCCAGGUGGGAUCAUCGAAACGAAUUGGGAUGUUGUCAUCGACAACUUUGAUGAAAUGCACUUAAAAGAAGAACUCCUCCGUGGUAUUUACGCUUAUGGCUUUGAAAAACCAUCUGCAAUUCAACAACGUGCCAUUCUGCCAUGCAUAAAAGGACACGAUGUGAUUGCACAGGCACAGUCAGGAACUGGCAAGACUGCUACAUUUUCAAUCUCCAUUUUACAACAAAUCGACACUAGCAUCAAGGACUGUCAAGCUUUGAUCCUAGCCCCAACUCGUGAGCUUGCUCAACAAAUCCAAAAAGUGGUUAUCGCUUUGGGAGAUUUCAUGCAUGCCGAAUGCCAUGCAUGCAUUGGUGGUACCAAUGUACGCGAGGAUAUGCGGAAACUCGAUCAAGGUGUUCACAUAGUAGUUGGCACACCUGGUAGAGUUUACGAUAUGAUUAGUCGGCGUGCGCUACGGGCCAGUAGUAUCAAACUGUUUGUACUGGAUGAAGCUGAUGAAAUGCUUUCUCGCGGUUUCAAGGAACAGAUUCACGAUGUAUUCAAAUUAUUACCUCAGGAAGUGCAGGUUAUAUUGUUAUCUGCUACAAUGCCAACUGAUGUCUUGGAAGUGUCUACAUGCUUUAUGCGAAAUCCAAUUCGUAUACUGGUGAAAAAGGAAGAGCUCACGCUGGAGGGUAUUAAACAGUUCUUCGUCAAUGUCGAGCGCGAAGAGUGGAAAUUUGAAACUCUGUGCGACUUGUACGAUACAUUAAGUAUUACUCAGGCAGUUAUUUUCUGCAAUACACGGCGUAAAGUAGAUUGGCUAACGGAAAAUAUGCGCACUCGUGAUUUCACGGUUUCUGCGAUGCAUGGAGAUAUGGAGCAGAAAGAACGAGACCUGAUCAUGAGACAGUUCAGAACUGGAUCGUCUCGUGUCCUCAUAACUACGGAUCUUUUAGCGCGUGGUAUUGAUGUUCAACAGGUUUCGCUUGUCAUCAAUUACGAUUUACCUUCCAACCGUGAAAAUUAUAUUCAUAGAAUCGGUCGAGGCGGUCGUUUCGGUCGUAAAGGAGUGGCUAUUAACUUCGUAACAGACGACGACAAACGGGCCUUAAAAGAUAUUGAACAAUUCUAUAACACUCACAUCGAUGAAAUGCCAAUGAAUGUCGCAGAUUUAAUCUAAAAUCUGGCUAUUGGCUAUAAUUCAUUAUAAUUACAAAAAAAGAAAUAAAAAUGCAUCCACCGUGUUCUCCCCCUACGUGUCCAGAUUUAGUAAUUAUGAGCUUCAAGUCCUUCAUCUUGAAUCAUCUUAUCAUUUCGCCGUAUAUUUUACGCGCGUUCUCCAACUGGAUGAUGAUUCAUUCCGUGAUCCUUGGCCCGUCUACGACGCUUCUACCACCGCGAUUGCAACGUGUUCGUCUAGGCAGAGGUUUAGUUGGGUAUUGGAAGGGGUACUUUAAUCACAAGCGUUGCCGAAGGAGAUGUACAAUUUCAGGCUUAGACGAUACGAAUUUUUUGUAUAUCCUAAAUCCCACGUACAAUACCUUCAAUUACGAGAAAUAAAGUGUUUGACCUUUUAAUUGUGGUUUUUGUUAUUACAUUCAUUGAUGAUUAAUGCACGCGUGCUGUGCUCGGUGUAACGAGAAACUCUCCCGGAAAGAAACAAAGAAAGGCAACUUUCGAAAAAUCCGGUGUGUAAUAUUCGUGAAUGUAAAGAUUUUGGGCGAUUCAGUGUGUUAUCGCCGGAUCGAGAGUCGGGGGAACAAGUUCUAUGAACCAGCAUCCAUUAUUAAAACGAAGUUC